rnacentral:rRNA from 1 species
AUUGAACGCUGUCGGCAUGCCUUACACAUGCAAGUCGAACGGCAGCACGGGAGCAAUCCUGGUGGCGAGUGGCGAACGGGUGAGUAAAGUAUCGGAACGUGCCCAGUCGUGGGGGAUAACGUAGCGAACGUUACGUUAAUACUGCAUACGAUCUAUGGAUGAAAGCGGGGGAUCGCAAGACCUCGCGCGAUUGGACCGGCCGACGUCGGAUUAGGUUGUUGGUGGGGUAAAGGCUAACCAAGCCGACGAUCUGUAGCUGGUCUGAGAGGACGACCAGCCACACGGGGACUGAGACACGGCCCAGACUCCUACGGGAGGCAGCAGUGGGGAAUUGUGGACAAUGGGCGCAAGCCUGAUCCAGCCAUGCCGCGUGCAGGAUGAAGGCCUUCGGGUUGUAAACUGCUUUUGUACGGAACGAAAAGGUUUGGCUUAAUACGUUGAACUCAUGACGGUACCGUAAGAAUAAGCACCAGCUAACUCUGUGCCAGCCGCCGCCGUAA